rnacentral:misc_RNA from 1 species
UCUACAAACAACAGAACAAAUACCAAUCCAUGAUCCAUUCCUUUUGACAAGUAAUUGUCAAUUUAAUUUUUGCUACUUUACAACCACCAAAGUGGACAAUAAUCAUUACUAACUUCUUUGGCUAACAAUUAUCAUUGUAAUAGGAAAACAAAUUGCAUCAUGUCUACAAUGUUAUUCUAAUUAGGAAUGUUGCCUAAUAUAUAACUUUUUUAGUAUAAACAAUUUUUUAGCCCAAUUGUG